GGCCUUGUAACUCAAUGGCAGAGCGUCCGACUACGAAUCAGGAGGUUGUAGGUUCGACCCUUGCCAAGGUCA
rnacentral:tRNA from 1 species